rnacentral:rRNA from 1 species
AACGAACGCUGGCGGCAGGCUUAAUACAUGCAAGUCGAACGUGAAAGUCCUUCGGGAUGAGUAAAGUGGCGCACGGGUGAGUAACACGUGGGAACGUACCCUAGGGUGGGGGAUAACUACGGGAAACUGUAGCUAAUACCGCAUAAUGUCUUCGGACCAAAGAUUUAUCGCCUUAGGAUCGGCCCGCGUUGGAUUAGCUUGUUGGUGGGGUAAUGGCCUACCAAGGCGACGAUCCAUAGCUGGUCUGAGAGGAUGAUCAGCCACACUGGAACUGAGACACGGUCCAGACUCCUACGGGAGGCAGCAGUAGGGAAUAUUGGGCAAUGGGCGAAAGCCUGACCCAGCCAUGCCGCGUGAAUGAUGAAGGCCUUAGGGUUGUAAAGUUCUUUCGCCGAUGAAGAUAAUGACGGUAGUCGGAUAAGAAGCCCCGGCUAACUUCGUGCCAGCCGCCGCGGUAA